rnacentral:sRNA from 2 species
ACUAAAGGUAGCUAGGGUUCCGACUUAUUUAUAAGUGUCUGGUCCGAGAGCAACCGACUCUUAAAUAGAGUUACACGGAGGGAUAAAAGCCCGGGAGGU